rnacentral:rRNA from 1 species
AUCCAACCAAUCCUCGACAAGCUGGCAUCCAGGCUGCAACGUUGGCGUGGUAAGCUUCUCUCCAGCGAUGCCCGCCUCCGGCUGGUAAACUCCCUACUCUCGGCGAUCCCGGUAUACCUAAUCUCCCUCUUCAAGCUGGAUAUUUGGGCCCUGAAGCAGAUUGACAAGCUCCGAAGGAAUUUUUUGUGGCGCUCCAAGCCGGACGCUGCUGGUGGCAUGGCUCUUGUGAACUGGAAAACAGUGUGUCGUCCCAAGGUUAUGGGUGGUCUAGCUGUCCUUGAUCUAAGAAGAUUUGGACGUGCCCUGCGGCUACGAUAA